UACGUAGGGGGCAAGCGUUGUCCGGAUUUAUUGGGCGUAAAGAGCGUGUAGGCGGCCAGGUAGGUCCGCUGUGAAAACUCGAGGCUCAACCUCGAGAUGUCGGCGGAAACCAUCUGGCUAGAGUCCGGAAGAGGAAAGUGGAAUUCCCGGUGUAGCGGUGAAAUGCGCAGAUAUCGGGAAGAACACCCGUGGCGAAGGCGGCUUUCUGGGACGGUACUGACGCUGGAGACGCGAAAGCGUGGGAGCGAACAGG
rnacentral:rRNA from 1 species